rnacentral:misc_RNA from 1 species
GCUCUUACGGAAUUCCCGAAGGUCUCUUUUGCGGCAGUCCAGCCAUUUGCGCCGAGGGGCAAUAUGCCCGCGUGGCAGACUUGAAGAUCCGUGGAUAUGCUCGCGUGAUGCUGGAUCGAACCGUUGCAGAGCUGAUUGAGGAACGCGGAACGCGAGGCCGUCCGCGCCCUUGUGAGUUGAGACUCUUCGCAUUGGAUCAAGGUGGAUAGAGACGCCUCGGACUUUUUUCUCUUGUUGCGGCGCCGUCGAGCC